CCGUGCUAGGCGGGGAGGUAGCGGUGCCCUGCACCCGCAAUCCGCUCUAGCGGGGCUGAACGCCCGCCCGAGGAUCAGUGCCUUUCGGGGCCAGUACGUCAAGGGCAGCGUUGAUGGUCAGGUCCCGUGCGAUGCACGCCCGUGAAACAGGUCAGGUCCGGAAGGAAGCAGCCUUAAGCGGUAGUGGGCAAGCGACACGGAAAGGCCUGACCGGAGCCAGCCACGACGGGAACGCCCGGGGACACCUUUCGAAGGUGGGCCCGCACGG
rnacentral:SRP_RNA from 1 species